GAGGCAUCUGAUGCUUAUUGCACCACAUGUGUUUUUUAUUGAACAAAUUUCUUUGGUGGCGGGAGCAAUCCUACCGCCAGAGGUUAUAACUAAACCAAACUUUUUAUUUACAGUCAAACUUGAUUUAUUAUUACAAUAGUCAAAACUUUCAACAACGGAUCUCUUGGUUCUCGCAUCGAUGAAGAACGCAGCGAAAUGCGAUACGUAAUAUGAAUUGCAGAUAUUCGUGAAUCAUCGAAUCUUUGAACGCACAUUGCGCCCUUUGGUAUUCCAAAGGGCAUGCCUGUUUGAGCGUCAUUUCUCCCUCAAACCCCCGGGUUUGGUGUUGAGCAAUACGCUAGGUUUGUUUGAAAGAAUUUAACGUGGAAACUUAUUUUAAGCGACUUAGGUUUAUCCAAAAACGCUUAUUUUGCUAGGGGCCACCACAAUUUAUUUCAUAACUUUGACCUCAAAUCAGGUAGGACUACCCGCUGAACUUAAGCAUAUCAAAAGACGGGGAGAAA
rnacentral:rRNA from 1 species